rnacentral:rRNA from 1 species
AUUGAACGCUGGCGGCAGGCCUAACACAUGCAAGUCGAACGAGUGGCGGACGGGUGAGUAAUGUCUGGGAAACUGCCUGAUGGAGGGGGAUAACUACUGGGAACGGUAGCUAAUAACGCAUACCAUAGGAUGAGCCCAGAUGGGAUUAGCUAGUAGGUGGGGUAAAGGCUCACCUAGGCGACGAUCCCUAGCGGGUCUGAGAGGAUGAACGGCCACACUGCAACUGAGACACAGCCCAUAGUCCUGCGUGAGGCAGCACUGGGGAGUCUGGCACAAUGGGCGCGAGCCGGAUGCAGCCAUGCCGCGUGUAUGAAGAAGGUCUUCGGGUUGUAAAGGCCUUUCGGCGGUGAGGCGUUACCCGCAGAAGAAGCCCCGGCUAACUCCGUGCCAGCAGCCGCGGUAAUAC